rnacentral:rRNA from 1 species
AGAGUUUGAUCCUGGCUCAGGAUGAACGCUGGCGGCGUGCUUAACACAUGCAAGUCGAACGGAGAGCGUAUGACAGAGGAUUCGUCCAAUGGAUUACGUUUCUUAGUGGCGGACGGGUGAGUAACGCGUGAGGAACCUGCCUCGGAGUGGGGAAUAACACAACGAAAGCUGUGCUAAUACCGCAUGAUGCAGCUGGGUCGCAUGACUCUGGCUGCCAAAGAUUUAUCGCUCUGAGAUGGCCUCGCGUCUGAUUAGCUGGUUGGCGGGGUAACGGCCCACCAAGGCGACGAUCAGUAGCCGGACUGAGAGGUUGGCCGGCCACAUUGGGACUGAGACACGGCCCAGACUCCUACGGGAGGCAGCAGUGGGGAAUAUUGGGCAAUGGGCGCAAGCCUGACCCAGCAACGCCGCGUGAAGGAAGAAGGCCCUCGGGUUGUAAACUUCUUUUGUCAGGGACGAAGCAAGUGACGGUACCUGACGAAUAAGCCACGGCUAACUACGUGCCAGCAGCCGCGGU